rnacentral:rRNA from 1 species
AUGUCGUUUGCCAAGAAGCUGCAGACACACCGUCCACAAUCAUGGUCAGCCCUGCCAUCAGAUCUUGCUGGUCUGGUCCUUCGUCGCCUCCCUUCCCAUGCCGACCAUGUGCGCUUCGCUGAUGUAUGUCACCAUUGGCGCUUCUCCAGACAAGAGCAUUGCCUGCCCCCACCUUUACCAUGGCUUGCAUUCCCUGAUGGAACCUUCUUCGGCCUUCCCUGUCGAGAAGGGGCAAAAGAGUCCUUCAAGCUCCACAGCAGUGCCAACUAUUGCAUCUCCUGCGGUGACUGGCUUGCCUUCGCACAAAAUGGCACCUGUUUCCUAAUGGACCCCUUCUCCGAGAUCACCUUGACGCUUCCUAACCUAUCUUCUUUCUGUCUUGUGGAUGAGCCUGUUGGAAUUAUUAAUGGUCGUGAUGUCCUGGAUGAAGACAUGUCUGGUUCUCUGCUACAGAUGGAUACUGCGAUAUCUCUGCGCAAGGUAAUCAGGUGCUCGGAACUCGUUGUUGCUGCCAUCGUUGAAAUUGGGCCUCUUCGCACUGUUGCGUACUGCCAACCGGGUUCAACCUCAUGGUUGGUGAGUGAACUUGGCAGCAUAGGGUCGGUCAUAGAUAUGAUGUUUUAUGAAGGUAUGUUGUAUGUCAUUGACGAGUUCAACGACCUUUUGGCAAUCAAUGUCAGAGAGGACAAUGAUAAUGGCAAGUUAAGGGUAUCUUGGAUCGAGCGUCUACUUGAUGGUGCCCCCUGUGUCUUAAAGUUGAUCCAAGGUGGCAUCUCUUACUUCGAGUCGUAUCUAGUUGAAUCUCAUGGUGCACUACUGCUGGUACAGAGAACAAUAUUUGGUGAAUGUGAUAAUAACACGAUUGGUGGUAUCAAGCCAGUAGGGAUUGAAUUUGAGGUGUGUCAGCCAGACUUCCAGUCUCGAAGUUGGGUGAAGGUGAGCAGUGUUGGGUGA